CCUACGGGAGGCAGCAGUAGGGAAUAUUGCUCAAUGGGGGAAACCCUGAAGCAGCCACGCCGCGUGGAGGAUGAAGGUUUUCGGAUUGUUAACUCUUUUUGUUAGAGAAGAUAAUGACGGUAUCUAACGAAUAAGCACCGGCUAACUCCGUGACAGCAGCCGCGGUAAUCCGGAGGGUGCACGCGUUACUCGGAAUAACUGGGGGUAAAGUGCGCGUUGGUGGGCUAGCAAGUCAGAUGUGAAAACCUAGGGCUUAACCAUAGAACUGCAUUUGACACUGGUAUUCUAGAGUGUGGGAGAGGUAGGUGGAAUGUAUGGUGUAGCGGUAAAAUGCGUAGAGAUCAAGAAGAAUACUGAUUGCGAAGGCGA
rnacentral:rRNA from 1 species